rnacentral:rRNA from 1 species
AUUGAACGCUGGCGGCAGGCCUAACACAUGCAAGUCGAGCGAGCGGCGGACGGGUGAGUAAUGCCUGGGAAACCUCCCGAUGGAGGGGGGUAAAUAUUGGAAAAGGUAGAUAAAACCCCAUAUUACUGUAUGUGCCCAGAUGGGAUUAGCUAGUAGUGGGGGUAACGGCGGACCUAGGCGACGAUCCCAAGCUGGUCUGAGAGGAUGACCAGCCACACUGGAACUGAGACACGGUCCAGACUCCUACGGGAGGCAGCAGUAGGGAAUAUUGCGCAAUGGGCGAAAGCCUGAUGCAGCCAUGCCGCGUGUGUGAAGAAGGCCUUCGGGUUGUAAAGCACUUUCAGCGGGGAGGCGUUACCCGCAGAAGAAGCACCGGCUAACUCCGUGCCAGCAGCCGCGGUAAUUC